UCAUCGACUUUUAAUUUCAGAUGCUUUAUGCUUUCAUCAAUGUCAUCAUCUGGUGAAUAUCCUUCUGGAUAGCCAGCUACACCAAUACAGAAUUCAUCAUUAUAAUGUGUGCGAAUAUAUCUAACUAAGUCUGAAGCAUACCGGAAUCCACUUUCGCCUUCAGUCCAGUCUGUAUCUUUAACAGGAUCACCUCUAAGGGCCAAUAUGUUACGACACCCUGUUUCAUGAGCCCGUUUCAAAGCUGCGUCAAUCAUUUCUGUGGACAUGUUCGUACAAGUCAAAUGCAUGCAAGUAUCCACUUCAAAAUCUGUUUGAAUUACAUUAACGAUUCCAGGAGUCAGUUCUGAAGAAGUACCACCAGCACCCCAAGUCACAUCGACAAACAUGGGACGACCCCAAGUCUUCAUGCGAUCUAUACGAUUGUAAAGAUUUUGGACACCAGUGCUCGUUUUUGGAGGAAAAAAUUCAUAACUGUAAGUAACUUUUUCCUUCCAAUCCGGGUGAAGUAAUUUGUCACUUAUUUUCAUUUUUACCUCUCAAAUUCAACAAUGAACUACUGACAAAAUAGCGGGCUCUUGGCAAAGUCUUUUUUUUCGUUUUCAUUCCACUUUUCAUGGUUUUGCCUCGUAAUAAGUCGUUAAUGAGCUAUUAUUAUAAACCUUAAUAUACGUUAAACUGUCAGCUACGCAGUUUGGUAUCUGAUUUAAGGAUACGUAGAACUGCGGCGAGUUUUCCUUGUGAUCUUUUAUAUUACAAUAAACAGGUUGUUUGAGUAGCAACUGAGUAUAGGUAUUGUAUUAACUGGGUUAUAAUGUUACCU